rnacentral:rRNA from 1 species
UACGGAGGGUGCAAGCGUUAUCCGGAUUCACUGGGUUUAAAGGGUGCGUAGGCGGAUUAGAAAGUCCGUUGUGAAAUCUCUGAGCUUAACUCGGAAAUUGCGGUGGAUACUAUUAGUCUUGAAUACUGUGGAGGUUAGCGGAAUAUGUCAUGUAGCGGUGAAAUGCAUAGAUAUGACAUAGAACACCAAUUGCGAAGGCAGCUUACUACGGAUCGAUUGACACUGAGGCACGAAAGCGUGGGGAUCAAACAGG